rnacentral:rRNA from 1 species
UGAGCAAUCUGCCCUUCUCUUCGGAAUAAGCGUUGGAAACGACGUCUAAUGCCGAAUACGACCUCCUUUCGCAUGAUCGGAGGUGGAAAGCUCCGGCGGAGAAGGAUGAGCUCGCAGCCUAUCAGCUAGUUGGUGUGGGUAAUGGCCCACCAAGGCGACGACGGGUAGCCGGCCUGAGAGGGUGACCGGCCACACUGGGACUGAGACACGGCCCAGACUCCUACGGGAGCAG